rnacentral:rRNA from 1 species
AGGUCGUUUCUGCUCACUGAUUUAUAUUAAAGAGCCGCAGUAAGUUGACUGUGCAAAGGUAGCAUAAUAAGUAGUUUUUUAAUUGGAAACUGGAAUGAAUGAAUUGAUGAAAAAUUGACUUUCUUUGAUUUUUGAUUUAAAAUUUUAAUUUUGAAUAAAAAUUUUCAAAUUUUUUUAAAAGACGAGAAGACCCUAUAGAUUUUUAUUUUUGAUUUAUGAAGUUUAAAAGUUUAUUUUGUUUAUUUGGAUUUUGUUAAUAAAAAUUUUAUUGGGGUGAUAUUAAAAUAUAGUUAUCUUUUUAAUAAUGUUGGUUAAUAUUUUUAUUUUUUUGAUCCUGAGUUUUUUGGAUUGUUAGAUUAAAUUACCUUAGGGAUAACAGCAUAAUUUUAUUGGAAAGUUCAUAUUAAUAAUAAAGGUUGUGACCUCGAUGUUGAAUUAAGGUGAAAGGUGGGGGUAGAAAUUCAUCUUUUUUAGUCUGUU